rnacentral:rRNA from 1 species
UAGUGGCAGACGGGUGAGUAAUGUAUAGGAAUCUACCUAGUAGUACGGAAUAAUUGUUGGAAACGGCAACUAAUACCGUAUACGCCCUACGGGGGAAAAAUUUAUUGCUAUUAGAUGAGCCUAUAUUAGAUUAGCUAGUUGGUGGAGUAAUAGCCUACCAAGGCAAUGAUCUAUAGCUGAUCUGAGAGGAUGAUCAGCCACACUGGAACUGAGAUACGGUCCAGACUCCUACGGGAGGCAGCAGUGGGGAAUAUUGGACAAUGGGCGAAAGCCUGAUCCAGCCAUGCCGCAUGAGUGAAGAAGGCCUUUGGGUUGUAAAGCUCUUUUAGUGAGGAAGAUAAUGACGGUACUCACAGAAGAAGUCCUGGCUAACUCCGUGCCAGCAGCCGCGGUAAUACGGAGAGGGCUAGCGUUAUUCGGAAUUAUUGGGCGUAAAGGGCGCGUAGGCUGGUUAAUAAGUUAAAAGUGAAAUCCCGAGGCUUAACCUUGGAAU